GACGAACGCUGGCGGCGUGCUUAACACAUGCAAGUCGAACGGAAAGGCCCUGCUUUUGUGGGGUGCUCGAGUGGCGAACGGGUGAGUAACACGUGAGUAACCUGCCCUUGACUUUGGGAUAACUUCAGGAAACUGGGGCUAAUACCGGAUAGGAGCUCCUGCUGCAUGGUGGGGGUUGGAAAGUUUCGGCGGUUGGGGAUGGCCUCGCGGCUUAUCAGCUUGUUGGUGGGGUAGUGGCUUACCAAGGCUUGGACGGGUAGCCGGCCUGAGAGGGUGACCGGCCACAUUGGGACUGGGAUACGGCCCAGACUCCUACGGGAGGCAGCAGUGGGGAAUAUUGCACAAUGGGCGGAAGCCUAAUGCAGCACCGCCGCGUGGGGGAGAACGGCCUUCGGUUGGUAAACCGCUUUCGCCGGUGACGAAGCGUGAGUGACGGUAAUUGGUAAAGAAGCACCGGCUAACUACGUG
rnacentral:rRNA from 1 species